rnacentral:rRNA from 1 species
UACAGAGGUCCCAAGCGUUGUUCGGAUUCACUGGGCGUAAAGGGUGCGUAGGCGGUCGGGUAAGUCUGACGGGAAAUCUCCAAGCCUAACUUGGAAACUGCGUUGGAUACUCUCCGGCUAGAGGAAUGGAGGGGAGACUGGAAUUCCCGGUGUAGCAGUGAAAUGCGUAGAUAUCGGGAGGAACACCAGUGGCGAAGGCGGCCUUCUAGACCAGUACUGACGCUCAUGCACGAAAGCGUGGGGAGCAAACAGG